GCAUCUUUAGUUCAGUGGUAGAAUGUUCGCCUGCCGCGCGGGCGGCCCGGGUUCGAUUCCCGGCCGAUGUA
rnacentral:tRNA from 1 species